CUCUUCCCAAACUACCCCUCAAUCAAACCCUUAUACGCCCUCUACCCUCUUUCUGUCUUAUCAUACACGCCCUUCAUCAUCAGUCCUCCAUCGCCACCCACCGAUCUCUAUUACCAAUGCCUCCACCACCGCCCCCCAUCUCCAGAGGCCGCUAUCAACCACCAUUUUUAUGUUUUUCCUGGUCUUCCACCUAUUCUCCUAAAACACAUACUAUUAUCUCUGAUUUCCAAGAAGUUCGAUAUUCAAUAUGCCAUGGAUUACAAGAAGUUUGAGGGAUUAUUGAGCAAGUUUCUUGAUGAUGUCUAAUAGCUAAGACUAUUAGGAGGGGGGAAUGAGGCACCCUACAUAGGGGCGACUUCCGACACGUGGCGUGGGGAUCCUUUCAAAAGGUUGUUAAAGAUAGGGGUGUUCAUCAAACCAUCAAACCGUAAAAAUUGGACCAAUCCGGGAUGUAUGGAUUGGUUUGGUCGGAUUGAGUUACUAAAGUCUGGUCUGACAAUUCAAGUUUUGAAAAACCGGGUUCAUCGGUUCGGUUACAGUUUCAACAAAGAAAAAACCGUCAUAAACCGGACCGGACCAAAGGUAAUAAAAGGAAUCAUAUACAUAUACAUGUAUUUUUACGAUAAUAUGUUGGUACUACAAUGGAUAUAAUAUACAUUAUGUAAAUAUUUUGUUUCGACCUUGUAUGUUUUUAAAGAAAUUAAACUUUCUCAUGUAUAUUAAAUGAUGUGAAAUCUCUAUGAAAAUAUUAUAGGAUCGAAUGUCUUUUGAUGGUUGACUCAAACAUAUAUUAUAUUUUAAUA